rnacentral:rRNA from 1 species
UACGUAGGGCGCAAGCGUUAUCCGGAAUUAUUGGGCGUAAAGAGCUCGUAGGCGGUUUGUCGCGUCUGCCGUGAAAGUCCGGGGCUCAACUCCGGAUCUGCGGUGGGUACGGGCAGACUAGAGUGAUGUAGGGGAGACUGGAAUUCCUGGUGUAGCGGUGAAAUGCGCAGAUAUCAGGAGGAACACCGGUGGCGAAGGCGGGUCUCUGGGCCGAUGACUGACGCUGAGGAGCGAAAGCGUGGGGAGCAAACAGG